GGGGCAUUAGCUCAGCUGGGAGAGCGCUUGACUGGCAGUCAAGAGGUCAGCGGUUCGAUCCCGCUAUGCUCCACCA
rnacentral:tRNA from 2 species